rnacentral:rRNA from 1 species
UGGGGAUAUUGCACAAUGGGGAGCCCUGAUGCAGCGACGCCGCGUGAGCGAUGAAGUAUUUCGGUAUGUAAAGCUCUAUCAGCAGGGAAGAAAAUGACGGUACCUGACUAAGAAGCCCCGGCUAACUACGUGCCAGCAGCCGCGGUAAUACGUAGGGGGCAAGCGUUAUCCGGAUUUACUGGGUGUAAAGGGAGCGUAGACGGCUGAGCAAGUCUGAAGUGAAAAGGGCGGGGGGCUCAACCCCCCAGGCAGCUGCUUUGGAAAUGACUGUACAGCUAGAGUGUCGGAGAGGCAAGUGGAAUUCCUAGUGUAGCGGUGAAAUGCGUAGAUAUUAGGAGGAACACCAGUGGCGAAGGCGGCUUGCUGGACGAUGACUGACGUUGAGGCUCGAAAGCGUGGGGAGCAAACAGGAUUAGAUACCC